GUCUAGGAGCAGUGACAGAUGUUUAAAAGUGAAUGAAGUUGCAGUUUACAGUCUGCAGGCUCCAGAGCCAAGGAACAGAGCUGAGUUUUUAAAAUACAUUCCACACUCUAGAAGCGGGGCUGGAAUGAGACAACAGGGCUGGGACGAGACAGAAGUUUGGAGCGGGACAAAGGGCUGGGACGAGACAGAGGUUUG